AGUGAACGCUGGCGGUAGGCCUAACACAUGCAAGUCGAGCGGCAGCGCAGGAGAGCUUGCUCUCUGGGUGGCGAGUGGCGGACGGGUGAGGAAUACAUCGGAAUCUACUCUGUCGUGGGGGAUAACGUAGGGAAACUUACGCUAAUACCGCAUACGACCUACGGGUGAAAGCAGGGGACCUUCGGGCCUUGCGCGAUUGAAUGAGCCGAUGUCGGAUUAGCUAGUUGGCGGGGUAAAGGCCAACAAAGGCGACGAUCCGUAGCUGGUCUGAGAGGAUGAUAAGCCACACUGGAACUGAGACACGGUCCAGACUCCUACGGGAGGCAGCAGUGGGGAAUAUUGGACAAUGGGCGCAAGCCUGAUCCAGCCAUACCGCGUGGGUGAAGAAGGCCUUCGGGUUGUAAAGCCCUUUUGUUGGGAAAGAAAUCCAGCUGGCUAAUACCCGGUUGGGAUGACGGUACCCAAAGAAUAAGCACCGGCUAACUUCGUGCCAGCCGCCGCCGUAA
rnacentral:rRNA from 1 species